UAUUAAAAAUUUCAUCUAUUUAUACUAUUAAAACUUGGCAUGGUUGACAAAAUGUGUAGCUUGUGUUUACUUAUAAAAAUCAGUUUUUAAUAAUAGAAAUGAAUGUAUUUUUUAAUA
rfam:Gossypium hirsutum cultivar TM-1 chromosome 8, whole genome shotgun sequence